rnacentral:rRNA from 1 species
AACGUAGGAGACAAACGUUAUCCGGAGUUACUGGGCGUAAAGGGCGUGUAGGUGGUUUCGUAAGUCUGGCGUGAAAUUUUUCGGCUUAACCGGGAAAGGUCGUCGGAUACUGCAGAACUAGAGGACGGUAGAGGCGUGUGGAAUUCCGGGUGUAGUGGUGAAAUGCGUAGAGAUCCGGAGGAACACCAGUGGCGAAGGCGACACGCUGGGCCGAUACUGACGCUGAGACGCGAAAGCGUGGGGAGCAAACAGG